ensembl:lncRNA
GAAUUCCGUGGACAAGAGCCUGGCAGGCUCCUCUGGAGAAUUCCGUGGACAGAGGAGCCUGGCAGGCUACAGUCCAUGGGGUCACAGAGAGUUGGACGCAGCUGUCUGACUAACACACUCUUCCCCUAAGUGCAAGCUGGUGCCCCAGGUGUUACCGUGGACUCCUUGGGUUUUGUGGACGUGGCUGUGUCUGAUCUUGGUUUCUGUUUGGACCAUCUGGUCUGAGGGUCGUCUCUGAGACUGUGAAUAGGGCCCUCCGUCCCCUAAGCUGUGUUGGGUGACUCCUGACUCUAUCCUAAGUCACCUGUGGGAUGGGAAGCAACACACAGUGUCUUCCUGGCAAGUGUCAGUUUCCCCGACUGUGAGCCUCUUGAGGGCAGGGGUCAGUGGCAUUUACCCAUGUCCCGCUGUCAGCACUGUCGUCCACCCCCCACGGGCCCGGUCAUCCACCAUCCAUCCACCGGUCCACCUGCCCACUCUUUACCUGUCCAUCCAUCCAUGCAUCCACUGUUCUGUCUGUCCACCCAUCCACCAUCCACCAUCCGUCCAUCCCUCCGUGCGUCCUCUGAUCUUUCUGUCCUUCCAUCCACCGGCCACCCACCCAUCCACUAUUCAUCUGUCUGUCCAUCCAUCCACCCAGGCAUUCAUCCCCUCCUCUUCUUCUUUCUGUUUCUUUCCCACUGCUUCCCCUCUCCCCUUUCCCCUCCACACAGGGCAGGAGUAUUUCCAGAAUGUGUGAGGAACAGCAGUAGCUGUGAAGUCUCUGGAACCAGGUGACUCAGGGGUCCAGCAGGGGGAGAUGAGGUCAGAGGGGACUCAGGUUAUGUGGGGUCUUGCAGGCUGUGAUGAGGCCUUAGCUGUGCUCUGAGUGGGCUGGAAGACUUUGGUGACAUCCAAGGUGAGUGGAGGGGCGAUGUGAUCUUUCUGUGCUGGCAAGGCUCCCUCUGGCAGCUGCACCGAGAAGACACUUGAAUGGUGGCAGCCGUGGCAAAAAUUCAAAUGACCAGUAAUGGUGAUGGGGCAGGACCGCAGUGACGGAGGGAGAAGCCGCAGGGUGCUGAAGGUUCCGACAGUAGACCCGCCGGGCCUGCUGUGGCUGACAGUGGGGAUGAGACAGAGCGAAGCGCCAAGGGCCAUAUGGGUCCUGGGCAGCUGGAGGGACGGACGCCAUUUACAGAGGAGAGACAGCUGGGGAUAGAGCAGGUUUGGGGGAUUUGAGGAGUCCAUGCCCUCGUAGCUCAGUCGCUAAAGAAUCUGCCUGCAAUGCAGGAGACCCAGGUUUGAUUCCUGGGUCAGGAAGAGCCCCUGGAGAAGGAAAUGGCUAUCCACUCCAGUACUGUUGCCUAGAGAAUCCCAUGGACGGAAGAGUUUGGUGGGCUGCGGUCUGUGGGGUCACGAGAGUUGGACACGACUGAGCACGCACGUGGACACGUCAAGCCCGCAAGGCCGAAUCCAAGUGGAGAUGGUGACGGAGCAGCUGGACGCGGUUCUGGACUUCAGGAGCAUUGAAGAAUGUUCCAGAGAAAACCGCAGGACUGACAGCCCACAGAGGGGCCUAGGAAAAACCUACAGACAUGGAAUCCCUGUGCCCACCCUCAGAGGGAUUUGGAAUGAGCAGCUUCAAGCCCACACACUGGAACUCAGCUGCAGCUUUCUCCCAAGGAGGUGCUGACCAGGACACACCUGCUGAGCCAGGCGACACCUGCAGGGGGACACCUGCUGGGCCAGGAGGUGCCAGCCCCUUGCUGGCAGCAGGCCCUGACAGUGUCUGGGUUUUUGCC